rfam:Caprimulgus carolinensis contig20044, whole genome shotgun sequence.
CCUCUCUGGUUUAUUUUCAGAUUGUAUAAAUCUUUCACCUUUAACUAAAGAUUUCCAUGGAGAGGAAGAGACACGAGUGUCGAGGGAUUUUUUGAGGCUCCAUUUCAGUUGAC